CGGCGUGCCUAACACAUGACAAGUCGAGACGAAGUGUAAGUUCCGUUACGGGGAACGGUAUUUAGCGGCGGACGGGUGAGUAACACGUGGGCAACCUGCCUCAUAGAGGGGAAUAGCCUUCCGAAAGGGAGAUUAAUACCGCAUAAGAUUGUAGUACCGCAUGGUACAGCAAUUAAAGGAGUAAUCCGCUAUGAGAUGGGCCCGCGGCGCAUUAGCUAGUUGGUGAGGUAACGGCUCACCAAGGCGACGAUGCGUAGCCGACCUGAGAGGGUGAUCGGCCACAUUGGGACUGAGACACGGCCCAGACUCCUACGGGAGGCAGCAGUGGGGAAUAUUGCACAAUGGGGGAAACCCUGAUGCAGCAACGCCGCGUGAGUGAUGACGGCCUUCGGGUUGUAAAGCUCUGUCUUCAGGGACGAUAAUGACGGUACCUGAGGAGGAAGCCACGGCUAACUACGUG
rnacentral:rRNA from 1 species